rnacentral:rRNA from 1 species
UACGUAGGGUGCGAGCGUUGUCCGGAAUUAUUGGGCGUAAAGGGCUCGUAGGUGGCCAACUAAGUCAGACGUGAAAUCCCUCGGCUUAACCGGGGAACUGCGUCUGAUACUGGAUGGCUUGAGUGUGGGAGAGGGAUGCGGAAUUCCAGGUGUAGCGGUGAAAUGCGUAGAUAUCUGGAGGAACACCGGUGGCGAAGGCAGCAUCCUGGACCAUUACUGACACUGAAUAGCGAAAGCCAGGGAGCAAACGGGAUUAGAA